rnacentral:misc_RNA from 1 species
GGGGUUGAUAGUUUCUACUGAAGAUCUGAAACAUGACAGUUGGGUUUCAGGUCUUUUUCCAACAUAUAUUGUAAGAAAUUAGAAUGAUCCUAGAGUUCUAGUACAUUGGAGUAUUGGACAUAAUAAGAAUCUUGUCAGCCUUUAUUUGUGCAUUGUCAACAUGAAUUUGCUGUUAUUGUUGUAGAGAGAAGCAGAUAAUGCAAUUAUUUUUUUAUGUCCAAGAGUAGCCAGUAAUAUUUGUCAAUGCAUUUGAAUAGAUAGUUGAUCUGUUCAGACUACUAACUUGUAAUCAUUCGGGGAAGCAAUUUCUGUAUCAUAUUUCAUAUUUUCAAAUUGCAGGAAUUGGGUAGGUAAUCUGUUCAGACUAUUAACUCGUAAUUAUUUAGUGAGGCAGUUUCUGUACAACUUCAUAUUCCACAUUUUCAAAUAGCAGGAGUUUGACUUGCAAGCUCAAUCUCACUGUUUUGGUCAGAUCUUUUAGAAAUGGAUGCACCAUAAAUUGUAACCUUUACCAUUGUAGCCUCUAAAAGAUCUUGAUAAAUGUUAUUUUAGGUGGCUUGAGAUAUUUAUUAGCAUGCUAAUGCUUGUCUAUUAUUU